AAAAGUCAGAGCAAGAGCAGCCAUUAGACUUCUUUCAGGCUUCAUCUGGAUUUUGGACUCUGGAGUUGGAGAAACUGCCAUAAAAAUUUACGUGUGCAGAGCAAUGGCCAAGCAAAGGAAAGACUUCCCCGAGUUAAAAAAGAAGAUGAAGAUACAAGCUGGUGAUGAUCCAGAGCAGCUGGUCUCAGGAAAUGAAGUAAAACUCUGAUCACCUUUUCCACAGAAACAAGAAUAAAUUGCGACUAGUCUCAAUGGCUGAGAUGGAGGAGCAACACAGCGACACGUUAACCAGACUGCUGCAGUUCCUGUAUGAACUGAGCAACUCUAAAAAUCCAAGGAAAAGCUGAGUGUAUUUUAUUUAAAGCUCAGAUGGACCUUCAUGGACUAACAUGCAGGCUGCAUUCAGGACUUUGUCACACUGGUAUAUGAAGAGUGGUAACAAGAGAAAUUGUGCACACACAAUGUGUCACUUUAUGCUUGCUCUUCUCCAGCCUCUGGUGUCACUUUGUAGUAAUUAGUUUUACUAUUGUCUUAUUUGUUGUGAUUUAGGGUGUGUGCGCACAAGCAGAGGUUUUUGUUUGUAACCGUAACCUCGUUUUCAGAGCCUUGUCUAACAUUUAAUGGUCGUGAAAUAUGUCAGACUUUUUCCUCUACUUAAACAGCUAAGAGCAUUUGAACACAGUGG
ensembl:lncRNA